AGGAUAAACGCUGGCGGCGUGCAUGAGACAUGCAAGUCGAACGGACACUUGGGGCUUGCUCCAAGUGUUAGUGGCGGACGGCUGAGUAACGCGUAGGUGACCUGCCCCGAAGUGGGGAAUAACUGCCCGAAAGGGUGGCUAAUACCGCAUGUGGUGGUGUGUUCAUUCACACCAGUAAAGCCGCAAGGCGCUUCGGGAGGGGCCUGCGUCCGAUUAGCUCGUUGGUGGGGUAACGGCUCACCAAGGCGACGAUCGGUAGGUGGUCUGAGAGGACGAUCACCCAGACUGGGACUGAGACACGGCCCAGACUCCUACGGGAGGCAGCAGUCGGGAAUUUUGCGCAAUGGACGAAAGUCUGACGCAGCAACGCCGCGUGAGGAUGAAGGCCUUCGGGUUGUAAACCUCUUUUAUCAGGGAAGAUAAUGACGGUACCUGAUGAAUAAGUCACGGCUAACUACGUGCCAGCAGCCGC
rnacentral:rRNA from 1 species